rnacentral:rRNA from 1 species
AACGAACGCUGGCGGCAUGCCUAACACAUGCAAGUCGAACGAGAUCUUCGGGUCUAGUGGCGCACGGGUGCGUAACGCGUGGGAAUCUGCCCUUUGGUUCGGAAUAACAGUUGGAAACGACUGCUAAUACCGGAUGAUGACGAAAGUCAAAGAUUUAUCGCCAGAGGAUGAGCCCGCGUAGGAUUAGCUAGUUGGUGUGGUAAAGGCGCAACAAGGCGACGAUCCUUAGCUGGUCUGAGAGGAUGAUCAGCCACACUGGGACUGGGACACGGUCAAGACUCGUAGGAGAGGAGGCAGUGGGGACUAUUGGACAGGGGGCGAAAGCUUUAUCCAUCAAGGCCGCGUGAGUGAUGAAGGCUUUAGGGUUGUAAAGCUCUUUUACCCGGAAUGAAAAUGAAGGUACCGGGAGAAAAAGCUCCGGCAAACUCCGUGCAACCCCCCCCGGAAA